rnacentral:rRNA from 1 species
CAUGAAGCUGGAAUCGCUAGUAAUCGCGGAUCAGAAUGCCGCGGUGAAUACGUUCCCGGGUCUUGUACACACCGCCCGUCACACCAUGGGAGUCGGGAAUGCCCGAAGUCAGUGACCCAACCUAUUGGAGGGAGCUGCCGAAGGCAGGUCUGAUAACUGGGGUGAAGUCGUAACAAGGUAGC